rnacentral:lncRNA from 1 species
GCUGGGCUGGGCUUGGUUGGGCUAUCACAGAAAAUAUGUAAGAAAAUUAAGAUAAGUAAGAAAGAAGGACUCUCCUACCUUAUCUCCCAAAAUAAAUGUGACGCCAAUUUAAUUAUUGCAUGUGGUUUUGGUGUGGAGGAGGUUUAUUUAUAUGAAACUCUUCCAUAUAAACCAGAUAAACCAACUAAUAAUUAGAUAGUUCAAAUCCAAUCUCAUU